CCACAGCUACCAUGACUUUGAUCCCCGUCUUCAUCUGGACACUGAUCCUCUGGACUCAAGAAUGCAGAGGUCAAGCCACAGUAACUCAGACUCCUGCAGUGAAAUCUGUUCUUCCAGGAGAAACAGUCACCAUCAACUGUAAAACUAAUCCUCAAGUGUAUCAAGACUGGGGUUAUCAACCUUUAGCUUGGUAUCAGCAGAAACCUGGAGAAGCUCCUAAACUACUGAUCAAAAAAGCAAAUGAGCUACAGUCAGGUAUUCCAGCUCGUUUCAGUGGCAGUGGAUCUGGAUCUGAUUUCACUCUGACCAUCAGUGGAGUCCAGACUGAAGAUGCAGGAGAUUACUACUGUCAGAGUUACCACAGUGGUGGUGUGUUCACACAGUGUUAUAGAGUCGUACAAAAACCUCCCUCAGUCAGAUUGUAGAGAGACUGAACUGCU